rnacentral:rRNA from 1 species
CCCUUAGAUGUUCUGGGCCGCACGCGCGCUACACUGAUGCGUUCAACAAGUUUCCUUGGCCGAGAGGCCUGGGCAAUCUUCUUAAUAUGUAUCGUGAUAGGGAUAGGUUAUUGCAAUUAUUAAUCUUGAACGAGGAAUUCCUAGUAAACGCAGAUCAUCAAUCUGCAUUGAUUACGUCCCUGCCCUUUGUACACACCGCCCGUCGCACCUACCGAUUGGAUGUUCCGGUGAAGCCUCGGGAUGAGGACUGGUGCCUUUAUUGGCAUGAGUUGUUCAGAACUUGUCUAAACCUUAUCAUCUAGAGGAAGGUGAAGUCGUAACA